GAUGAACGCUGGCGGCGUGCCUAAUACAUGCAAGUCGAGCGAACGGACGAGAAGCUUGCUUUUCUGAUGUUAGAGGCGGACGGGUGAGUAACACGUGGAUAACCUACCUAUAAGACUGGGAUAACUUCGGGAAACCGGAGCUAAUACCGGAUAAUAUUUUGAACCGCAUGGUUCAAAAGUGAAAGACGGUCUUGCUGUCACUUAUAGAUGGAUCCGCGCUGCAUUAGCUAGUUGGUAAGGUAACGGCUUACUAAGGCAACGAUGCAUAGCCGACCUGAGAGGGUGAUCGGCCACACUGGAACUGAGACACGGUCCAGACUCCUACGGGAGGCAGCAGUAGGGAAUCUUCCGCAAUGGGCGAAAGCCUGACGGAGCAACGCCGCGUGAGUGAUGAAGGUCUUCGGAUCGUAAAACUCUGUUAUUAGGGAAGAACAUAUGUGUAAGUAACUGUGCACAUCUUGACGGUACCUAAUCAGAAAGCCACGGCUAACUACGUG
rnacentral:rRNA from 1 species